CCGACCCGCUGCGAUCAGGGACAGGCGCCCGCCCGCCGCCGCCGCCUGGCCGCUAUGGAUCUAUUCGACUUUUUCAGAGACUGGGACUUGGAGCAGCAGUGUGUGCCCUGAAAAAGUUCUGAUGCAAAAUAGUCAAAUCACGGCUGUUACUUGCUUGCCACCUGUCCUGACGACAAGAGGAAACAUGGGUUGCACCUACUGGACCUAAAGUCUUCACUUCUUCUCCAAGGAUUGCAGUUCAUAGCAGAUAUUUCAACACUGUCGCUGCUCCAGAAAAUCCUUGGAUCCAGUUCCUCCAGAUUGAGAAAGGAAUGACAUACUCUUUAGGGUAAUCGUGUAGGCAGGGAUGAGGAGAAUGGUUGAAGAGAGAAUUCUGUGUUUUGACUUGGAAAGGCACCCACUCCACCCUUGUAUUUUCAAAGUGGCUCUUAGAUGUCGGGCAGUAUGAUUCUCAUUCAAAGCCUGGAACACCAAAGAAGAAACUCUGCAUCUUGCCACUUAAACUUACUGUUAGCACUUCGGUACUGAUGUACAGCUUUGGUUGAAGCCUCUCUCUCUCUCUCUUUCUCUCUCUCUCUCUCUCUCUCUCUCUGUGUGUGUGUGUGUGUGUGUGUGUGUGUGUGUGGUUUGAAAAUUGUAUCCCCCUUCAGACUAUAACCUAGUCUUUUAAUGUGCAUGAGAAGGGUAAAAGUAAAUAUAUGCCCCUAUAGAGAAAAGGAGGUAAUUUAUUUAUUGCUUUUCCAUUUUUAAUUUGCCCAUUCUAAACAAUGUUCCAGAAGGAUUUGUAUGACUUAAUACUUUCCAGAAAAUAUUCUGUUUUUGUAGGCUAAUGGUUCAGUUUACUUCUCAUUUCUUCAUUGCCUUUCAGAUAAGUACUUCCACAGGAACUUAGCAUUAAAAUUUGCCUUUUCAAAUGUACCAUAUGGAAUUCCCAAAGGAAAUAAUUUUUAAAGUACCAGUCUCACUCAAUUUGGCUGUAGAGCUGAGUUCUCUUCCUCUCACAACCCCCUUCCCCAAUUUAAAACAUUUUCAUAAACUCAGAAACAGAGGAGCUAACAAGAAUCUCUGGAUCCAUUAACAUUCAGUCAUGUAGAAUUUCUCAGAAUAUUCCCAUCUUAAAGAGGAUGUGGAGACAACAUUUGAAUGGAUGACAUUAUGUGUGUUUCAGAAGCCAGGUGUAAAGAGCACUUUUCCAUACAUUUUAUAUCUGAGUUACCAAUGCCUCAUCUUCCAGAGAGCAGGCAGUAGGCGGCAUGUGUGUCCUGGGACACUGAGCUUGCCUUCCUUUACUAAGGGCUGUAACUGCCACAUCACCAUUUGGAGUCAUGACUUGUAAAGUACUCAGUCUUAUUUGUUGACAACUGUUGUGGGCACCUCUCCCUUUUAAGUGUUCUAAAGGAACAAGUUUUGAGAAAUUAGGUCAGUUGAAUUUUCUAAUAUUUUUGGAAUGUAAAUUAACUGUACAAAAAGCUUCAACUGCAGUUGUAAUUGUAGCUUGUUAAAAAUGAAAAACAGAGAUGUCAGAAUUCUAUUAGGAAAAAAUAAUUAUAGUAAUAUUUUCCUGCUAUAUUGACCCUGCUAAUUGUAUAAAAGAAAGUACAUUCAAAAUUUAACUUAUGUGUACGUGUGUGUGUGUGCAUGUGCAGGAGAGAGAGAGAGGUGUUAGAGCCACCAGUUUGCUGAAGUAAUAACUUUCCUUUUCUUCUUUUCUAUAACCAAGCAUAAUAUAUAAAGAGAGCUUUGACAUAACAUUUAAAGUCUAAACUCCAGCCAAUGUCAAUAUUAUAUAGCAAAUAUUGACUUUAAUCAAAAAGGUCUGACUGAUGUUACAGCUUAUAAGAACAAACAAAAUUGUAACACUUAUCAUUAAAUUACCACUAUAGAAAUAUGUAGAUGAUAAUCUCAGCCCAGUGAAUGAGCUGAUUCUCAAUAGAUAAUGGUCCCAUUAGUCAGAUAUUAUCAUUUAGCUUAUCUAUAUUACUUAGAAAUAGUUUAUAUUUAAAUAACCAGAAUAGAAGACUUCAUAAAUACACAUUAGGUUGUGGGCUAUAGAUUUCAACACUAUCUAUCUAUAGAUAAAGCUAUAAAUAGAUGAAUAUUGAAUAUAGUAAUUUAACACUUAAGUAAUUUUAUAGUAUCAUUAAAAGGAAUCACACUUGAGCCAUUAAUUGUAAGGAUUUGAAAUGUUAGAAAAAACAGUUGUGAAAUUCACAGAGAAAGACAGGAAGAACAUUCUAAACAUCAUCUAUUUUGGAGAUGGAAAACAACAUUUGAUUUCAUGUAUAUAUAAUGUAUCCCAUAGUAGGGACUCAGUGUCAGUAGGCUGAGAUAACAUACGAGAAAUCUGAAAGUUCUGACUGCUCUGUGUGCUUAGGACCUCCACAGGGUACCAGACUUUACCAACUUCAGGACUUCCACUAGUCUGAGUAGCCAGGGCACACCAGUCACAGCUCAGAGAGACACAUCCUUAGGUUUGCUGAAAACACCUGUUUCUGAGAGCAAUCAUAGUAUAAUAGCUUUGACUCAAUAAAGUGAUCUUCCGUGAGCAAGAAGAUCAGUUGGCAGAAAAGGAAAAGGAAAUGUGGCACAAAAAACUUGGCACUCCACUAUAAGAAAUAACUUUACCUUUGUUAAUUCAUUUAGUCGGUGGAUUCUUAUUUUAUUUAAUGAGUUAUAAUCCAUUACUAUCAUCAUUUAUUUAUUUAUUGCUAAAAUUUGAGGUAAUUUUAGAUUCACACAUAGUUGCAAGAAAGAAUAUACAGAAGUCCUGUGUACUUUUAUCCAGUUUUCCACAGUGGUAAUAUCUUGCGAAACUAUAGUACAAUACAAUCUUGUUUUUUUUUUUUUUUUUUUUUUGAUGCACAAAUUUUCCCAGACUUGACCAGUGGGAGCUGUUUCUAGCUGGCUCCUAUGUCCUUUUGAUUAUGAAUCACUUCCUUAAUUUCUGGAACAAAAUACUUCAGGUUCACCUGGUACUUUCUCUGCUUCAGCCCUGGAUUCAUCUCUCUUAGAAGCCUAAUUUCCUUUAUUGGAAAAUGGUACUUAUAGAACAAGAUAUAGAACAAAAUGGUACUUAUAGAAAAGGGGAUAGGUAUACCUUUACUACCGGAGUGCCAUUAUUUCUAGGCCAUCUCAGCAAAUAGAGCUAGGAAAUAUAUACACGUACAUGCACAUACACAUACAUGAACACACAUCUAUCUCUAUUUCUAUAUCUGUUCAUCUGUAUAUACAGCAUAUUAAAAUAUCAUGAUGUUAUAAUGAUCUCACCAAUUCCAAUAAAACACCACAUUCCAGUCUUUCCCCUUUUCUUACCGGUAACUCCCUUCUCUAAAAUUGAGAAAUUUAGCUCACAUGAUCCACAAUAUACUUAGUUAUUUAGUCAAUCCAAAUGUGCUAACCCCUAGCACUGUGAAAAAUCAGUUCAGGUAAGAGUCAUCAAUGGAUCAUAAAAGCAGUGGGUGAAAGUUUGAGGAGUAAUGAAAUAUUUACAUAAUUUCUAAGUAUUUCCCUACAAAAUAUUUAUUAAUUGCAAGGGGAAGAAGUAGCAAAUUGGCAGUGGAGAAACCUGGCAGACACCACCUUAAGCAAGUGACCAAAGUGAGCAUCAUCAGGAAUGAGACAUGGAGACCUCCUGUGCCUCCUGAUGAAAUGCACUGAGGGGAACACAAGAUCACUUUUGUGGCAUUUCUGCCAAUAGUACAUAAUCUGGAUUUAACUAUGAGGAAACAUCAGACAAUAAACCCAAAUUGAGGCACAUUCUACAAAAUAAGUGCCCCUUUUCUUAAAAAAAUGUCAAGAUAGUGAAAAAUAGAACUGGAGAAGUGCUCCAGGGUAAAGGAGGCUACAGAAACAUGAAAACUAAAUGCAAGGCAUGAAUUUAGAUUGGAUCUUGGACCCUUUCUUUCUUUCUUUUUUUCUAUAAAGUAUAUUAUUGAGACAGUUGGUGAAAUCUAAAUAAAGUUUGUAGGUUAGAUAACAGUAGAAUAUCAACAUCAAUUUCCUGAUUUUGAUAAUCAUAUUGUGGUUAUGUAGGAGAAUGUUCUUUUUUUAGGCGAUACACAAUGUUGGGUUUACAGGUAGGGGGCUAUCAUGACUGCCAAUUAACACUACGUGAAAGAUAUAUAGGCUAUUUUAAUGUUCUUACAGCUUUUCUGGAAGUCUGAAUUUUUUUUCAAAAUAAAAAUGUUUCAAAAAAACAAAUGAGAAAUGUUCCCCCGCCACCUCAUCCUCAUUCUAUGCAUUGACCUUUGUCAUUUCCUGGACCAGUAAUUGGGUCCCUUCUAAGUCACCUGAAACCAUCUUGUUUGCUUGCCCUAACUCUAGUACUGGCUCAGAUGAGCCUGCCUCUGUACCUCUGUAUCCCAUUUCUCCUGUUGAUUUCUUUCUUCUCCUGACAUCAGAAAACCAUUUGAAGGACAGUAUACACAUUAUCCUUUCCUUGACUCUUUUUAGCAGCUCUCCAAUGACCAUUUGCCUUUAGCUGACCCAAGAAAGUGAUGCGCUGCUAACCAUAGGUAGUGUCCUGUAAUUGCAGAUUUCAACUGUUUUCAUAUGCUUAGAGUAGCCUAAGGCAAGUAACAAUCUGUGCUAGGAGAAGAGCAAAGACUACUGUAAUUCACUUUACUUUUUAAAUUUACCUCUGGAAAAGAAAGAACAAGAGAGCCAAUAAAACUUGAGGGAUUUGUUAAUUUGUUAAUUUGGUAUUUGAUUUGCCCUUACAGCUGUACCUCACCUUUUAGAUAUUUUUCUACUUUGGGAAAACUUUAGCACACUAGUCAAUUAUAUAUUAUUUUAACUUCUCGAGGUGAGCUUCUCAUUUAAAGGGAAACUGAGAUCAAUUCUUUUGUAAAAUCAGUCAUCACUUCCUACUCUUGUUAAAGGAAUUUUUUUCUGUGUUGA
rnacentral:lncRNA from 1 species